rnacentral:rRNA from 1 species
UGGGGGAUAUUGCACAAUGGGCGAAAGCCUGAUGCAGCGACGCCGCGUGGGGGAUGAAGGCCUUCGGGUUGUAAACUUCUUUUGCUCUGAACAAGGCAUGCCAUUGUGGUGUGUUGAGUGUAGGGGUUGAUUAGCGCCGGCUAACUACGUGCCAGCAGCCGCGGUAAUACGUAGGGCGCGAGCGUUGUCCGGAAUUAUUGGGCGUAAAGGGCUUGUAGGUGGCUGGUUGCGUCUGUCGUGAAAGCUCAUGGCUUAACUGUGGGUUUGCGGUGGGUACGGGCUGGCUUGAGUGUAGUAGGGGGGGCUGGAAUUCCUGGUGUAGCGGUGGAAUGCGCAGAUAUCAGGAGGAAUACCGGUGGCGAAGGCGGGUCUCUGGGCUGUUACUGACGCUGAGGGGCGAAAGCGUGGGGGGCGAACAGA